rnacentral:rRNA from 1 species
UAGGGAAUAUUGGACAAUGGGCGAAAGCCUGAUCCAGCCAUCCCGCGUGUAGGAAUAAGGCCCUAUGGGUUGUAAACUACUUUUAUUAGGGAAGAAAAACUUUGAUUUAUCAGAGCUUGACGGUACCUAAGGAAUAAGCACCGGCUAACUCCGUGCCAGCAGCCGCGGUAAUACGGAGGGUGCAAGCGUUAUCCGGAUUUACUGGGUUUAAAGGGUGCGCAGGCGGUACUAUAAGUCAGUGGUGAAAGCUUCCAGCUCAACUGGAAAACUGCCGUUGAUACUGUAGUACUUGAAUUUGGGAGAGGUAGGCGGAAUACAUCAUGUAGCGGUGAAAUGCUUAGAUAUGAUGUAGAACACCAAUUGCGAAGGCAGCUUACUAUACCAAUAUUGACGCUCAUGCACGAAAGCGUGGGGAGCAAACA